rnacentral:rRNA from 1 species
AACGUAGGGGACAAGCGUUAUCCGGAUUUACUGGGCGUAAAGCGCCCGUAGGCGGCCUGAUAAGUUGGACGUGAAAGCUCCCGGCUUAACUGGGAGAGGCCGUUCAAAACUGUGAGGCUAGAGUGAGGCAGAGGAGCGCGGAAUUCCCGGUGUAGUGGUGGAAUGCGUAGAGAUCGGGAGGAACACCAGUGGCGAAAGCGGCGCUCUGGGCCUAAACUGACGCUGAGACACGAAAGCGUGGGGAGCAAACAGG